UCUGUGCACCUCUCUCACAGCCCUUUCUGGCAGUCACUCUGCCUCCGCCAGCUCCCUGCUUGGAGCUCCUGCCUGUUCCUGCCUGUCUGGGGCCUCAGGGACUCAGCCCUUGCUUGUCAGCGGGCCAGAUAUCCCCUGCCUUCGACCGCCGCCCACCCCCACCUCCUUGGAGCAUGCUGUGGCCCCAUCCUCAGAGGAAGACUACAGUUGGGCUUAAACGAAUUACUAAGCAGGAAGUAAAGCAUGUACCCGUGGCUAAUUCCAUGUGUGGCAGCUCUCGCGAGAGUUUGCAAGUGAGCUGCCGGAAGAGGAAGAGGAAUGCUGGAAAGUGGUGGCUGGAAGCAAAACUGCAUAGGUAUUGAUAGGGAGGAGAGAGUGAGCUGAGAGGCCCAGCCCCAAGAGGGAUUCCCUGAGGAAGAGGAGAGUGGCCACCUACCCUCCUGCCUUCCAGUCAGUGUCUUAAAGUAGAGGCAGGGGGCAGUAAGUCUCGAGGGUGCUCCCACAGCAACGCUGCCAACGGGGAGAGCACAGCACCAAGGUCCGUCUUGGGUGGGGGAGCAGAUGGGGACGUUGGAAAAAACCUGAGGGCGUGGGAGGCCAAGAAGAGAGACCAAGGUGAGGAUGGGGGAGAAAGCUGCUUUUGUGAGCCUGCUUAUUGCCCAAAUGACAUGCAGCAAAAAAGAAAAAAGAGGGGAAGGAGGGAGAAAGAAAGAGAAAAGGAAAGAAAGAAGGGAGGGGAAGAAAUAGAGAGAGGAAGAGGGAAACAGAGAAAAAGAAAGAAGGGGUAAAGACAGAUGGGAAGAGAGAGGAAGAGGAGAGAGAGAAAGUAGGGAGGGGCAGAGAGUAAGAAAGAAAGGAGAGGAUGAAAGGGGGGGGGAGAGAAAAUAAACAAAAGAAAAAACAAAGGGGAAGAGAGAGCGAAUGGGGAGUUUGGCGUCCUAAACAAGAAGGAGGAAGGGAAAGUUGGAGGCUGCUGGAGUAGGAGCUGAAUGACACAUGGAUGCCAGAGUUGUGGGAAUGACAUGUUGGAAGCAACGGAAUGGAAGAGGAUGAGGAGAAGCAGGAGCAGGGCUCAGAUUUUGUCUACACUGAAUGAUAGCAGCUCUCCAAAGUUUCAUGCAGGAGUCUUUCCCAGCCCUACCUGCAGAUGCUGCCAGGGAAUGAACCCGGGACCUUCUGCAUUCAAAGCAGAUGCUCUAGCAUUGAAUUACAGUACCAUCUAUCCAGUAGAAAGUCAGUGAAAAGCCUUGUGAAACAGAAAUGCCUCAACAGCACAUUUCAAAGCUGUCAUGGUGCAAAUUCGCUGAACGUCCCAAGGAAGAAAAUUCUACAGCAGCGGUGGCACCACAGAAAACUCUGCCCUCAGCAACCACCAUUGGAUAUUAGUCAAUGGCAGGCCAGAGAAUCGGGCUUGCAAGGCUGAUUGUAAAGCACGAGUAAGCUAAUAGAGGUGAAGGCUGUCCUUAACAUAAUCUAGCCUUAGACUGAGAAUUAUUUUGUGAUUUUGUUCAGGGUGGGGGGUUGUAAAUUGCUCUGGGCAGCAUUGAUGGAAUUGUAGUCUUGAAAAUACAUACUGUUCUGUUUUUCUGGAAUGUAUUGUUGGGGACACCCUGACCCCAACAUUGAACCCAGAGGUACCAACCCAGAAUUAUAUGGAAUCCAGGCCUGUGUCUGAUUCCAUUUUAUUAAGGAAUCAAUUAAGGCCUGAACUCAAGAUGAACUGACCAGUACAUGACAUCUAGGCUUCAUGAAUUGCCUCUGGACAGACAGUAAUUGCUCUGUGAAGGAAGAGGCAAUCCGGCAUUGUUUCUCAAUGGCAGGCUUGGUUUCAGGUGUCUCACACAUAUCCAAGUACUAUCACUGUGGAAUGCCUUGACAGAUGCAUGGCAGGAAUAUUUACAUACACUAGCAAUUUGAAUAUGUUGGUGCCAGCUCAUUCAUGUUGAAUCAGAACUCAUAGCCCAGCAGGCCAGAUUGAGUUCUGAUCUUUACCAGUACCACUGAACUCCUUGCAACAGGAAUUCAAAUGGAGUUAAAUGAUUAAACUCCUAAAAAUUGCCUAAGCUUGCUUUCAGGUAAUGUCUUUGGGGGAAGUUAAGAGCUGGGCUCACAUUUCCUCCUGCAAAAAAAGUCUAUGUUAAUCAUUGAUUAUUGCUGUGCUUUGCCCAAAGGGGAUAAUCCUGUCUCUCUCUGAGGGUCAUUCAGUAUGUAGAAUUAGGAGUAUUGUUACACCCAAUUGCUGUCUUUAGGAAUUUCACUCCAGGUAGAUGUACACAAAAGAAAAUUAUCUAAUCACUGUCUCACAAAUAUAGCUUUUAUUCUUCUUUUGUUCACACCUUUUAACACUUUUGGGACCCCGGAAAUCUGGGGACAAGAAAGGAUGCCCAUUUGCAAGCUCAGAGAUGCAGAUUUGCUUUAGGCAAAUCUGCACAGAACAAUCUCCUCCCCAAAACAGCAGCUAAUAGGAGAUGGAGCUCACCCUGGACUGAGCUAAUAUCCUGAACUAAUAUUAAUAAUUAAAAGACAAUAUCCAGAUGGUAGCAGCAAAUUGUCACCUUUUGGAGAUCCAGGAAGGAUGAGGAUAUUUUGAAUAGAUUCUAUGGAGAUCAAAGGUAGAAACAACUAUAAGGAUGGAGUGUACUGAACAGAGAGCUCGCAAGCUUUGCCUAACCAGCAGAUUUUGCUCAAGAACGAUCCUAGGGUUCGCUGUUCCAAGCCGCGGGGCUAAAGCAGGAACUCUUUCUCGGGUGAAGGGAAUGUCUGUGACCUCUGCUGCGCAGUCAGAAGUCAAGACUUCCCCCAGCCAUGCUGCUUUCGCUCCCCACUUCGCUCUGAGCACCUGCCCCCAGCCUGCAUGACUGCUUGAAGCUUGCAUCGCACCCCAAGCUCCUGUUUUCCAAGCACCAGUGUUUCUCCUCCAUCUGAAGCCUCACUGCUCCCAAGCCUCAGAUCCUGGUAAUAUGCUGCUUCUACAGCCCUGGGAUCCCUCUUUCCUUCCCCCUUCUUCCCCUCCCUUGUCUCUCUACUAAUUCCUGAUUUCCCCAACCAUACUACUGCACCUUCCUUACCUCCCCCCCUUUCCCAUCUAUAUUUGAAUUAUGUUAGGCUCUAGGAAGAUUUAAUACACACACACACACGAUAGUUAGGAACACUGGGUUGAUGUUGUUGCUAGCCAUGAUUGAAAUAUUAUUAGUAGUUCAGAUUGAUUGUUCUGUUCUCUGCUCACUUAGAUUGAUGCUGUUGUUCUUCAAUGAUCAAUAAAGCCCAUUGA